rnacentral:tRNA from 1 species
AAUGACUUGCCUGGCAAAAGGAAUACUUUGAUAGAGUAGAUCAAAUAAUUAGACUUAUAUUCAUUA